rnacentral:lncRNA from 1 species
AUCUUAUUGAAAUUUGGAAGCAAAUUUACUUGAAGAAUUUUGAAAUUAGAACCUGAGGAGAUCAUCAUGAUGGUUUCAAAAUUAAAUGCAAAGCUUAGAUUCUGUUUAUAUUACAUGUUCUAGGCCAUAAUGGUGAAAUGGUGCAUGAUCAUCCUAGCACGUUUGGAAGAAAAUACUUUUUCUACCACCUCAGCAACAGAUAUUUUAAAGAAACUGCACUUUCCGAAUUGGCAGCACCAAAAUACUAUCGCAACAUACGAUUAUGAGAAUUUAUAUCCCUCCCUGAAUCUAGAGCCAACAUGUCUUUCCUUUUAUAGGUUCCUUUUUGAAAACGUAGAAGAUGCAGAUAAUCUAUCACUACUAUUAAGAGAUCUAGCUCAUUAAUAUGCCAUAGAUUGUAUUUUAAAUUUAAAGGCAUUUUACUACAAGCAGACUAUGGGGGUUCUGAUUGGUACCCCAUGGCGAGUGCCCUAGCCAAGAUUGUACUUAGGGAGGUUGAGAAACUAAUUCUUUGCAGACUACAGUCUAAAUUUAAGUUUUUCACCAGUAUGUCGACGACACCAUCGCAGUAUCGGAAGACAAGACUGCAGUAGAUGGACUCCUAGAAGCUUUGACACUGCCAGCCUAUGGCCUCACACUGAAG